GGGAGGUGGAGAGAGUGGUGAGGGAGAGAGAAAGUGAAUGAAAGAGCGUGAGAUAAAAGAGGAGGUGAAGAGAGUGUGGGGAGGUGGAGAGAGAAAGUGAAUAAAAGAGCGUGAGAUAAAAGAGGAGGUGGAGAGAGUGGGGAGGUGGAGAGAGUGGGGAGGGAGAGAGAAAGUGAAUGAAAGAGCGUGAGAUAAAAGAGAAGGUGGAGAGAGUGGGGAGGGAGAGAGAGUGGGAGGGAGAGAGAAAGUGAAUGAAAGAGCGUGAGAUAAAAGAGGAGGUGGAGAGAGUGGGGAGGUGGAGAGAGUGGGGAUGGAGAGAGAAAGUGAAUGAAAGAGCGUGAGAUAAAAGAG
rnacentral:lncRNA from 1 species